CCUACGGGUGGCAGCAGUGAGGAAUAUUGGUCAAUGGACGAGAGUCUGAACCAGCCAAGUAGCGUGAAGGAUGACUGCCCUAUGGGUUGUAAACUUCUUUUAUAUGGGAAUAAAAUGUUCCACGUGUGGGAUUUUGUAUGUACCAUAUGAAUAAGGAUCGGCUAACUCCGUGCCAGCAGCCGCGGUAAUACGGAGGAUCCGAGCGUUAUCCGGAUUUAUUGGGUUUAAAGGGAGCGUAGAUGGAUUGUUAAGUCAGUUGUGAAAGUUUGCGGCUCAACCGUAAAAUUGCAGUUGAAACUGGCAGUCUUGAGUACAGUAGAGGUGGGCGGAAUUCGUGGUGUAGCGGUGAAAUGCUUAGAUAUCACGAAGAACUCCGAUUGCGAAGGCAGUUCACUGGACUGCAACUGACACUGAGGCUCGAAAGUGUGGGUAUCAAACAGGAUUAGAUACCCGUGUAGUC
rnacentral:rRNA from 1 species